UACGAAGGGGGCUAGCGUUGUUCGGAAUCACUGGGCGUAAAGGGCGCGUAGGCGGCUUUGUAAGUCGGGGGUGAAAGCCUGUGGCUCAACCACAGAAUUGCCUUCGAUACUGCCUGGCUUGAGACCGGAAGAGGUAAGUGGAACUGCGAGUGUAGAGGUGAAAUUCGUAGAUAUUCGCAAGAACACCAGUGGCGAAGGCGACUUACUGGACACAUAUUGACGCUGAGGUGCGAAAGCGUGGGGAGCAAACAGG
rnacentral:rRNA from 1 species